ACGGGAGGCAGCAGUGGGGAAUAUUGGGCAAUGGGCGAAAGCCUGACCUAGCAACGCCGCGUGAAGGAAGAAGGUCUUCGGAUUGUAAACUUCUUUUAUGAGGGACGAAGGAAUUGACGGUACCUCAUGAAUAAGCCACGGCUAACUACGUGCCAGCAGCCGCGGUAAUACGUAGGUGGCAAGCGUUGUCCGGAUUUACUGGGUGUAAAGGGCGCGUAGGCGGGAUGGCAAGUCAGAUGUGAAAUCCACGGGCUCAACUCGUGAACUGCAUUUGAAACUGUCGUUCUUGAGUAUCGGAGAGGCAAGCGGAAUUCCUAGUGUAGCGGUGAAAUGCGUAGAUAUUAGGAGGAACACCAGUGGCGAAGGCGGCUUGCUGGACGACAACUGACGCUGAGGCGAGAAAGCGUGGGGAGCAAACAGGAUUAGAUACCUUGGU
rnacentral:rRNA from 1 species